GGUUCCGUGGUGUAGUGGUCACGUUCGCUUUACACACGAAAAGGUCCCCGGUUCGAUCCCGGCGGAACCA